rnacentral:rRNA from 1 species
GAUGAACGCUGGCGGCGUGCCUAAUACAUGCAAGUCGAGCGAACAGAUGAGGAGCUUGCUCCUCUGACGUUAGCGGCGGACGGGUGAGUAACACGUGGAUAACCUACCUUUAAGACUGGGAUAACUUCGGGAAACCGGAGCUAAUACCGGAUAAUAUAUUGAACCGCAUGGUUCAAUAGUGAAAGACGUUUUUGCUUUCACUUAUAGAUGGAUCCGCGCCGCAUUAGCUAGUUGGUAAGGUAACGGCUUACCAAGGCAACGAUGCGUAGCCGACCUGAGAGGGUGAUCGGCCACACUGGAACUGAGACACGGUCCAGACUCCUACGGGAGGCAGCAGUAGGGAAUCUUCCGCAAUGGGCGAAAGCCUGACGGAGCAACGCCGCGUGAGUGAUGAAGGUCUUCGGAUCGUAAAACUCUGUUAUUAGGGAAGAACAAAUGUGUAAGUAACUAUGCACGUCUUGACGGUACCUAAUCAGAAAGCCACGGCUAACUACGUG